GAUGAACGCUAGCGGCAGGCUUAACACAUGCAAGUCGAGGGGUAUAGUAGCAAUACUAGAGACCGGCGCACGGGAGCGUAACGCGUAUGCAAUCUACCUUUCACAGAGGGAUAGCCCAGAGAAAUUUGGAUUAAUACCUCAUAGUAUAGUAUCUUGGCAUCAAGGCGCUAUUAAAGUCACAACGGUGCAAGAUGGGCAUGCGUCCCAUUAGUUAGUUGGUAAGGUAACGGCUUACCAAGACUACGAUGGGUAGGGGUCCUGAGAGGGAGAUCCCCCACACUGGUACUGAGACACGGACCAGACUCCUACGGGAGGCAGCAGUGAGGAAUAUUGGACAAGGGGCGCAAGCCUGAUCCAGCCAUGCCGCGUGCAGGAUGACGGUCCUAUGGAUUGUAAACUGCUUUUGUACAGGAAGAAACACCCCGACGUGUCGGGACUUGACGGUACUGUAAGAAUAAGGAUCGGCUAACUCCGUGCCAGCCGCCGCCGUAA
rnacentral:rRNA from 1 species